CGCUCGCGUCCCUGAAUCUCCGGCCCGGGGUGCUGCGGAAAACGGCCCUGUCAUUAGAGCUGUGCAGAGAAAAGACUGGCAGCCAGAUGUGGACAACCUGCUGGCCGCCCCGCCCCACCCCGCCCCGUCACCUCCAUCCACCCUGCCACUUUUUGCGGGGAAAUAGCCUGGCUUCCUGAGCACUGUGUAAAAGCAGGGCAAAAAGCCUUCUGAGUGCUCUGAAAGGACACGGUAAGGUAAUGCAGCCUCGGUUUGCUGAACUCUAAAGGUCUGCGGGCCACGCUUGUUUGGGUCACCCGGUUUGGCUCAUCAAGGAGGGAUCACGGUGCCGGCUCUGGCCCUGCCUUGAAAUUUCUGCUCUUCUUUUUGGGUCCGGUGGUAUGCGGAAAGUCAUUUAAAGAAGUGCUUGCGGGGCUCAAGCCUAAAUUCAGGGUGGCAGCAGAUGGAUAGCACGGACUCCGGGGAGCUUGGCUUCAAUCUUGAUAUGAAAUAUUGCAGCCAGCAGCCACAGUGCUGACCACCCCUGCUAACGCAAGCACUCUUCCUAGACGUGCACCGAAGUCAUGCCCUGAUCCCCCUUCCUGCUCCCAGCGUGGUCAGUUCUCUGAAAAGGUGACUGUCACAGUGCAGUCCCUUUGCUCUGUAUCUUGUUUGGCUUUUUCCAACCACCAACUUUGGCGCCUAAUCGAAAACUACACUCCUUCAUUCCUUCAUUCCUUCACUGCUGUCUUAAGGCAAACAUAAAGAUCAGGGUGUACUUCCAGCCCAUGAGGUCACGAAUCUGGGCAUAAAUCAAAGAACAAAGACACUUGCUUUAUUAUGCGUUAUUAUUUGUCCACUUAAAGUUCUCGCAGUUCUUGGUAUGACCUUUUAAGAUUCACUUCUUGCCAAAAGUAACCAAAGGUCCAAAACCUAUAAAUCAGUCUGCUUCAAGAAACUCGUUCCUAACGCUCUGUUUUCGCAAUCUUUAUGCAGGGAUACUUUGGUUCAUUGUGAAGAAUUUAACUCCCCCCCCCUUUUUUUGUCUGUGCCCCCUCCCCUUUUAAACCAAAUGGAUGCAGAAUGAAAUUAAGGUGACUAGGUGACUGGGAUACAAUCACCAAGACUUUGGUUUGGAAGGACCGUGAGUGACCACUGGGACAUGCUCCACUCAAUACAAUUAUCCCAUUUUUUAGAAUAAUUUCCAGCCCUUGCUCCACCAAGUGUUUAGCACAUGCAAGGCUUUCAUUCUGUUUUGUUUUGACAGCACUUUUAGAAAACUUUCCUUUAUAUUGAGCCCAAAUCUUUCUCUCCUUAACUUUGACCCAAAUGCCACAAUCUGAGCUCUGAGGCAACGCAAGUGAGGUCUACUCAUGCAGCUGUGGCAACAGGUAGGUGGUGUGUGCUUGAUCAGUCUCCUGGCUGUGUGAAUGUGACCAGGGUGGAGAUGGUUUGCUUGGUGGGAGGCAGUUUCUCUAUGGUUCUGCUCUUGGUCUCAGUUUGUCCCAAUGAGUUGCUUUGGGUUCACUAGUGGGUUAAUUUAGAAACGAAGUUUGGGAAGCACCUUCCUAACCAUUUCCUUAUCAUCUUCCCAGACAUUCAAACCAGUCACCUUUAAGGAGCAAAUGUCUUCUCUUCUUUUGUGUGAUUUGCCAUAAAGUGCUUUAGUUUCCUGCCCCCUGGCACAUUUCUACUGUUACUUCAGUGCCAUAUUUCUUUCUGAACCAUCUAUUUCCGAUCCAAUUUGCUAUUUAGAAAACAUAAAUCAUUAGCUGGCACAUUCCAUGUGGAGUUGCCUAAAAUUAAACAUCGCACAAAGUUUGUACCACAUUUUUUGGCUUUGUUUAACGGUCUCUUUGUUUGCUGUAUCUUGCUCUUGGUAGGUACUCACUAAAUUUGUUAAUGAUUUCUUGUUUUUACUAGACAAGAACCUGGCUUACUUUUGACUGGGAAAAAAAAAAGUUGAGUAUUGUGACCUUUAGGACUCAGGCAGUUUAUAACUGGUUGCUUAUAAAUUCCACUGUUUGGAUCCAAAGCCACAUUGGUUUUUUUGUUCUUGUUUUUAUUUGGUACCAGGGAUUGAACCCAUGGAGUUCAACCACUGAAGCACAUCCACCCUGUUUUUUAUUUUUUAUUUUGAGACCAGGAUCUCACUAAAUUGCUGAGGGCCUCGAUAAGUUCAAAGCCACAUUGUUUAAAAGAAAGAACUGUGACGAUUGGUUUGGUGUUUUAGACCAGACUCCAAAAAGCUACUAUCUAAUGUAGUUCUACCCAUUGCAUUUUUAAAAAUCCAUAAGCUCAGGCCAUCACUGCAACAUAGCUUCCAGAGGAAACAAAUUUUGAAUUAUAACCUGGAACUCCAAGAAAGAAUCCUAACACCUCACCACCCUGUGGAAUCACCACACCAAGAAUGCCAGAAUCUCUGGGGAAGCCUGGUAAGGUGUUCUUAGAGCUGCCAAUGCAGAGCCAGGCUAAGAGCUACAGCUCUGACUGGUUGAGGUUUAUAUAUAUACAUGCAUAAAAACAGUUAACUUAGCAUAAAGAAUGAUGUGCAUUAUGGAAAGAAUAAAUAUUAAUCUUUGAUGAAAACUUUAAAAAAUAUUCUAUUACUGCAGAGAUUGUAACACACAAUUUCAGUUUGAAAGAGGUUAUAAAUACACAAGCAACCCAUAAAUUAAGACCUGGAUGGCAAUACUAUUAGUUCCUUUGCCAGCUAAAACAGACUGGGGUUUUCAUGCCUGUGGGCAUGAUUAAUUUUUCCUUAAUCUAUUGUCCUUUUUAUGAGGUUAAACAAUGUAAACUCUUUUUUCUUUUUCUUCUCUAAAAUGUACUGUGUAUUUACAGUAAAAGUUACAUUUUAGAGCCCAUAUGUGCCUGACCAAAGAAUGAAAAAUGUUAACUUUCUUUAAUACUUAAAGAAUAUCAUGUAAUGAAUCAAACAUUUAUUUUAAAAUGUCUUAUAUCUUGCCAUUUUCAAACCACAUAAUCCAACAUAAGCAUGUUCCAAAAACAAAAUAGACCAAAUAGAAAAGUUUUUUUAAAAGAACUAAUGCAUAAAUGGCUUGUUUCACCUUAAGAUUAUACGGUCCCAAAUAACCUUUGCAGUUAAUCUGCAAACCGAUUUACAGAAAGUACCUUUCAACUGAUAAAUACUUCCUUGUUUUCUUUAGGAUUGAGCUCACUGAAAAUUUUAUAUAACUAUCCAUAACAGAUUAUUCUUAAUUUCUAUAUAAAAGUGAACAGAUUGAGAAAGCUGCUUUCUCUAAAUUAAUCAAAGGAGUAUCUUAACUAUAACAUGAUCUUUACAAAUAGCUGCAGAUUUUUUUUUCACUGUGAAAAACUAAUUGAUCUAUAAAUUAGAAAUUUUUACCUGAUGAUAACAUAAUGCCAUGAAACAUAUUAUGCUUUCCACUUUUGAGACCUCAGAAUUGGAGGUUAUUUCUCUGGCAUGAUUGUGAUUGUUAAGGAAAAGUAGAGGAUUCCCCCCACCCUCCAGAGUUGUUCAAUAGGAAUGAAAACCAGUUUAGCCAACUGAACAGGAGAUUUGCAGAAAUUCUUUACUUGAGAUUCGGUUCGCCUGCCAAACAGCACAGGUGUGCGUUUCAACAGCUCAAGGAUUUUCUAAGCAUAAAAUUUGGUUUCAGUAUACAUUAGCUCCUUCCUAGAUUCCAGCGAGGUGGGGUGCUGCUAAUCAGGUGGGAAGGAACUGAAGUCCUGGUAAUUACUGUAUUAACUAAAAACAACAACUGCCCAGGAGCCAAAGAUUGUUCCACCAAGGUGAAGAAGACAUUAAGACCAACACUAAGAUAUCAAAAGAGCAUAUCUGUGUUCUUCUUCUUUCCAUUUUCCCAUAACACUCUUAGUUUCUGUAUUGUGUACAUGGGUUCUAUGAUAUUUAUAAUCUUCUUAGUAUGAAAACUUCAGACUGAUAUUAGUAGUUAGGAAAUAAACACUCUUAUCAUUGUUUAUAUAUAAAUGUAUAUGUUUAUACACUUUUUUUUUUUUUGCAAAUUAUAAAUAAGCAGUUGCCUUAUUUCGUCAUUUGUCAACCUCUGAGACUCUCCUGUGUUGGAAUGUUUCCACGGGCCCAUUACAAGUUGAUGCCACUUACCGUGUGGAUCUGCUUUCCUACAUUCAUUUGAAACACACUCACUCUCAGUUCUGAGCUAACUUAAGAUCAUCUAGGUUCCUCCUGACCCCUGGAGGGUUCCUCCUGAGCCCCUAGACAGUUCCUCCUAACUGUCUUUCGAUUCCUAAUAAACUUAAUCUAGCAGACAAGCACCAGGGAGAGGAGCAAGCAUUUCCCUCUAGGUCCUCACUGCCUUAUUUUCUAUCCACUGUCUCCCUCCUUGGCUAUGUUAAAAGAGGGUGUAUCGAUAGGGGUACGUGGAGAAAAUGUUUGAAAGGUUUGUACAUGUAGUCUUAUUUUCACUUUUUUUUCCCUUGAUACUGGUGAUUGAACCCAGGGUCACUUAACCACUGAGCCACAUCCCCAACCUUUUUUAUAUUUUAUUUAGAGAGAGGGUCUUGCUGAGUUAGGGCCUCACUAGGUUACUGAGGCUGGCUUUGAACUCAAGAUCCUCCUGCCUUAGCGUCCAGGCAUGUGUCACCACCCCACCCUUUUUAAUAUUUUAUUUUGUGACAGGGUCUCACUAACUUGCUUAGGGCUUCAUUAAAUUGCUAAGGCUGGCCUCAACCUUGCAAUCCUCUUGCCUCAGCCUCCCAAGCCAUUGAGAUUAUAGGCAUGCCCUACUGUAACUAACUGGCUUAUUUUCACUUUUUAGUAAAAUUAGAAACAUGCUAAAGCAAAGAAGUUCAGACUAUUUAUGAAAGAAAGUGAGGUGGUGGAGAGGGGACAGACAAUGGGCAUAAGAGAAAAUCCUAGCUCUGUAUCGAUUGGUGCAGUCCACCUAACUUGGUCAACAUCACUUCUUCAACUAUAAAGCAGGAAUGAAAAUAGCUCCUUUAAAGCUGUUGUGAGGAUUAGAGGCAAGGCAUGUAAAGGUUUGGAAUGUGGUGGAUGCUCAGUAAACAACGGAUGUCAUUCAGUUGACUCAUGCUUUUCAUUUCCCUGGGUCUUUUUAAAGCUUUAAAAUUCCAUUUUCCAUAAAAGUGGUAUUGAUCGGAGUUAGACCCACUUGCAGUAAGUAAAUAUGGAUGAACUGUGCUGCAGAUAUUCAAAUAAAAAGGCAGAAAGUGUUCAGUAGAGUGCUAACAAAGGAGAGGUUGCUGCCAAGGGUGAGAGCAGAGGGAGUGGAGGCAGGAGCAGGGAGGCAGGUGGGACGGGGCAGGGGUGCCUAAGGACGAGAGGCGGAGUGAGGAAAGAAGCUGAGUUCAAAAGGUCGAGCAAUCCUCCUGCCUCAGCCUCCCAAGCCACUGAGAUUAUAGGCGUGCCCUACUGUAACUAACUGGCUUAUUUUUACUUUUUAGAAAAAUUAAAAACAUGCUAAAGCAAGGAAGUUCAGUCUAUUUAUGAAAGAAGGUGAGGUGGUGGUGCUCUUGUCCCAAGAGCAGUGGAUAGACAUACAAGUACCAGACAAGUGCUAACAGAAAUGUAAGGAGAGAAAAACGGCUAAGAAAAUAAUGGAUAAAGAGGUGGGAAGUCAGAGGUGGGUGAAAGACAGUAGGAAAAGAGGAGAGACCUCUUACAGCCUUCACUCUUCCGCAUUUUUAGGAAGGGGUAGUAAGCCACACAGGUAUUGCCUCUCACCAAAUGGAGAGACUUUCACCUGUCCCUGCCCCUCAGUGGAACUGGAGCAAUGCUUGUUCCAAACUACUCAGGAGUCCCAGGUGUACCACGUGGCUCACUUCAUAGGAAAUUAAAAAUUAAUUCUUUCAGGAUCAAAAAUACAUGGUCUUAUAAAAACAUACCAUAAACAAAUCAUUGACUUUUCCUUCAAAAUGUAGAUCUUCCCUUACUUUCAUCUAAUAAACAUUGAUAUUGGCAUCUUUCAGGUAAGUGGCCAUCCUAAGCAGAUGUGUUCCAUCCACAUCUACUGGGUGUAAGAACACACCAAAAAUGAAUUAAAACAAUUUUAAAUAACUUGAUUUACCCUUAGUUUUCAUCAGAUUGCUUGUAUCAUCCGAAGUAUUUGAACAGGGUACCUAAUUUCCUUAUUUCCAUGUGAGUUUAGAUUUUGCAGUAGGGGAAUUACGGUUCACUAAUACUCUGUUUAACAGUGUCCUAGGAAUUGCUGACCCAUUAUAUCAUGGGUUUGGUCUUUUUUUUUUUUUUUUUUUUUGGACUAGGGGAUUGAACCAGGGGUGUUUAACCACUGAGCUACAUCCCCAGCUCCUUUUUUGAGAGGUAGGAUCUCGCUAAAUUGCUGAGGCUGGCUUGGAACUUGGGAUCCUCUGCCUCAGCCUCCCAUUUUGCUUGGAUUGUAGGCUUGUGCCACCACCCCCAACAUGGAACAUUUCUCGUAAAGUGAGUGUGUCUGUGUGUGUGUAUAUGUACAUGAGUGUGUGUGUGUGUGUGUGUGUGUUGGGGUUCAUCUCCAUGGCGGGGGUUCACCUCCAUGAGCACUUGCUCACAUAACUCUACAGUUCAUUUCUCUUUUGCUGUCAUUUCUAGAACAGUAUUAGUCACCAUUGAAUCAAUCCCGAGUACAGCAUUGCACGCCUGUAGCUCCAGGUGUCCUUCCACCCGCUGUGAAUAUGGUGAACAAAACAGAAGAAGCCCAUGCCCAAUGAGGCUUAUGAUCCCCUGGGGAGACUAGGAACAGGUAAGAAUUUGGUAUCAUAGGUCACAUGUGCUGAAGAGAAAAAUAGCUGGUGGGGGCUAUGAGGUAUAUAAAGGGGGUGUUUUUAAAAUUUUAAUUAGGUGGCUAGGGAGCCGACUCUGGGAAGAUCACUUUGUGGUAAAGGCUUGAAGAAAUGAGGGCAUUGAGCACGUGGAGAGCUUUAGGCAGAACAUUCCCAGAGAGAAGAGCACAUUGAACUUGUCCCAAGAGCAGCGGAGAGGCCACUGGAGAGGUCAGUGGCUGCAGCAGAGAGACUGAAGGAAAGAGUAAGAGAAGAGGACAGAGAGGUAAUGGGCCUCGUAUGUCUAACCAUGUGUGUGUCUGUUUUCCUGCAUGUACUGCGUGUCUACAUGUGUGCAUGUGCCUAUGUGUCUGUGUGCCUCUGUGUGUCCAUGUGUGUCUCUUGUGUGCGCGUGUGCAUGGGUGUGUGUUGGGGUGUAGGUUUGUGUAGCUCGCACAGUCCUAACAACAGCUUGUACUCUGAGUGUGAUGAGAAGACGCUGGAGAAGGGGCGUGACAUCUGACAUGUUUGGGCACUUCUCUGAGGACAGCUGGAGGGAGGCAGCCUAGAAGCAGGAUGGAGGCUACUGCAAACCUCCAGCUGCGUGGGGAGGCAGCUUAUCAGCUGGUGAUGUCUGUGUGGUUAAAAAACGGCCCAAUAUUGAGUUUGGAUAUAUUUUGAGGGCAGAGCUGACAAGAUUUGCUGAGGAACUGUGACAUGUGAGACAAGCCAAGGAAGACCCCAGGGUCUGGGCUUCUACUCUAGAGGGAUGCAGCUGUCUUUUACCGAGAUGAGGAACCCUGUAGAGAGGCAGGGAUAGGGCGGCCUCAGCACUUCUGUGGGAAACCUGUGGGUGUGAGUUCCAGUAGACAAUCAGGAGGAGACGCCGAGAAGACAGCUGAAUCUGCAGAUCCACAGAGGGACCUCUGAGGGCCACCUGUGGUCGGGUGGUGUGUGACAUCGGGAGACUAGUGAGAUCCAGGGCUGAGUGGAGACAGAAACAAGAUGGCCCAGGGGCCGUGCCCUGACUUCUUCCUCCAUUUCGCAGCCAAGGAGGUGAGGAGGCGUGAACAGAAGAGGGGGAGAAGGGAUAGCGCCCACAGGGGAGAUCCCAGGGCCAGAACCCUGGAAGCCACGUGAAGAAACUGGAUUAUGGAGGAAGGUGUGGAGCCCAGCCCUGGUGAGACGGCCAGCUGCAGGAAGAAGAGACCAUCUAGCCCUUGGUGGCCUUGGGGAGAGCUCUUCAGGUAGAGAGGGUGGGAGCAGGUUCAUUGACAAGAGAGGGAGAGGUGGAGAUGGAAAAACAGGCUCCCUUCAAAGGGAGGAGAGAGGGGUUUGGAACCUGGAAGGCAAAGUGGGGCUGUGAAAAGCAUUUUAUUAAGAUGAGAGAAAUCACAGGUUAGGGCCUUCUGGAGCUUGGAGACUGGAGUAUGGUGUCCACGCCAAGGACCACACAUGGCCAUGGCCCAUUCCAUGCCUGGCUUCUCCCACGGAGUACACCCACGUAGGUUAGCUCCCCUAAGAAAAGAGUUCAGAUGCCGCUUUUCCUCUACAUUUAUGUGUACUUGAGUUUGUGCUAAGAUAAAUCCCUUAGUUUGACAUUAUUUAAAAAUCAAUAUGACAAACAUCUUAUUGUUCUAGAAUUACCAGAGUUAGAAAGCACUAUUUAAUUCAACAUUUUCAAAUGAGGAAACUGGAAUCCAAAGCGACUUCUUAAUGCAUAUGAAGUCAUAAAGCAUGUAUUGGGGUAUUGUGUUAACUUAACACUUUGUAUACCUCAUUCUUCAAAAAUGUGUGGAUUAAAAAAUCAUCUGAGCUGGGCACAGUGGCGCGCGCCUGUAAUCCCAGUGCCGCGGGAGGCAGAGGCAGAGGCAGGAGGAUUGCGAGUUCAAAGCCAGCCUCAGCAACAGCAAGGCACUCAGCAACUCAGUGAGAUCCUGUCUCUAAAUAAAAUACAAAAUAGGGCUGGGGAUGUGGCUCAGUGGUCAAGUGCCCCUGAGCUCAAUCCCCAGUACAAAAAAAAAAAAAUCUGAGUUUAGUGCUGAAGAAAAACAUGAAUUUGAAUAAUAUCUAAAAGUUGAAAGCUAUCAUAUUUCUCCUCAAAGAUAUAUUGAUGCUGAUAAAAUACAAGUAACUCACUAGGUGUUGUGGUUCAAGUUCAUGUGGAAUCAUCUCUGUAAAUGACAGAUCAUGAAAAUGACAGAACAUGAAAAGAAAGGAAGUCAUAAUAGAGCUGAUAUGCCGAUGAUAUGGCAAAGCCUAGACACACCUCUCUUUUUGGUUCAAAGCAAUAGCUGUUUCUAUGCUUAAUGUAGGGUUUGCGAAGAAAUAAUAAAAAGAGCUAGAGAACAAGGUUAGCAUCGUGUUUUGCCUGGGAUUAUUUCAAGUGCCACACCUCUAGGAUGUCUCUCGUAUUAAUCUCUCUGACAAAGGAAUAGACCCUGUGUCAAAUACUUCCUCACCAUACAGUCUGUCCACCUAUAUAACCCUAUUGUGUUAAGCAGUGUUGCUUUUUCCAAUCAGAGCUUCUUUUGAAAGAUUAUAUUGUAAUUUUUUGACACAGUUAAUCAAAGCAGCCAAUGAAAUUAAGCAAACCAGUAUGUUCUGUUUGUCCUCAAGUUUCUGGUUUAUAACUGUUCAGGAGAAAUGUAAAGAAUAAUAUGCUGUUAUUUCAUGUUAAUUUCCAAAUGUAAGCUGGGCAUGGUGGUGCACACUUGUAAUCCCAGUGACUUGGGAGGUUGAGGCAGGAGGAUCACAAGUUUGAGGCCAACCUCAGCAACUUAGGGAGACCCUGUCUCAAAAAGUAAAAAAGAGGCUGGGGAUAUAGUUCAGUUGUGUAGAGCCACUGGGUUCAAUUCCUAGUACCAAAACAAACUAAUAAUUUCCAGAUGUAACUGAGAGGAUCAAGUGAAUUAGAACAAGGCUAUUUAC
rnacentral:lncRNA from 1 species